rnacentral:rRNA from 2 species
CGGGACUCAUCCGAGGCCCCGUAAUCGGAAUGAGUACACUUUAAAUCCUUUAACGAGGACCAAUUGGAGGGCAAGUCUGGUGCCAGCAGCCGCGGUAAUUCCAGCUCCAAUAGCGUAUAUUAAAGUUGUUGCGGUUAAAAAGCUCGUAGUUGAAUCUGUGUGUCACAGUGUCGGUUCACCGCUCGCGGUGUUUAACUGGCAUUAUGUGGUACGUCCUAUCGGUGGGCUUAGCUCCUCGCGGGCGGUCCAACUAAUAUCCCAUCGCGGUGCUCUUCACUGAGUGUCGAGGUGGGCCGAUACGUUUACUUUGAACAAAUUAGAGUGCUUAAAGCAGGCUACCUUCGCCUGAAUACUGUGUGCAUGGAAUAAUGGAAUAGGACCUCGGUUCUAUUUUGUUGGUUUUCGGAGCCCCGAGGUAAUGAUUAAUAGGGACAGAUGGGGGCAUUCGUAUUGCGACGUUAGAGGUGAAAUUCUUGGAUCGUCGCAAGACGGACAGAAGCGAAAGCAUUUGCCAAAAAUGUUUUCAUUAAUCAAGAACGAAAGUUAGAGGUUCGAAGGCGAUCAGAUACCGCCCUAGUUCUAACCAUAAACGAUGCCAGCCAGCGAUCCGCCGAAGUUCCUCCGAUGACUCGGCGGGCAGCUUCCGGGAAACCAAAGCUUUUGGGUUCCGGGGGAAGUAUGGUUGCAAAGCUGAAACUUAAAGGAAUUGACGGAAGGGCACCACCAGGA